UACAGAGGGGGCAAGCGUUGUUCGGAAUUACUGGGCGUAAAGGGCGCGUAGGCGGCCCGCUAAGUCGAACGUGAAAUCCCCGAGCUCAACUCGGGAACUGCGUCCGAUACUGGCGGGCUUGAAUCCGGGAGAGGGAUGCGGAAUUCCCGGUGUAGCAGUGAAAUGCGUAGAGAUCGGGAGGAACACCAGUGGCGAAGGCGGCCUUCUGGACCAAUACUGACGCUCAUGCACGAAAGCGUGGGGAGCAAACAGG
rnacentral:rRNA from 1 species